ACUUUCCUGUGAAAGCUCUUCAGAUACCUGUUCAUUUUAGAACUGCAAGGCUGUGGGCAAGAAUUGACUGUAUUUCAUGGUUUCCAGAGAGGAUCAAGCAUAGACUGCAAUUGAUGGAAAAUGUAUGUUAAGCCUCAUCAUCAGACCUCUAAAGGAGAUUCCAUGUCCACUCCAGUUUUGAUACACGAACAUAGUCUAUAGAAGUGUCUUCAGCUCUUUCAAAAUGUAUUUUUUUUUCUCCAUCUACUGUGUCUCAUUACUUCUCCAACUUCUCUGUGAGAGAGCUCAGAAUAAGAAGAAAAUACUUUUAAGUAUGGCAAAUUCAGGAAGAAGUAGGAAAUACCCCUGCCAAAUUUAAGGAUGACAUCAAACCAGUGCCAUACAGAAGGUCCUGAACAGACUGAAUGAAUGAACCUUGUGAAACCAAGCAAUUUCAAAUGCCAAGUACUCGAGGGAAGGAGAAGCCCCUGCAAUGACAUAGUAACAUCAUUACCUUCUGAAAUAUCUAGGAGGUUCUCUUGGUUGAGAGCAGCUAUAACACCAGGUCUUCCAUUUGGGAAAGUAAACAAGCAGUGAAGCAUAUUAGAUUUUAGAAGCCUGUAGAAAUAUUGAAGUGGGUCAUUUUUACAAACUGUGAACAGAAAACAAACAAACAAACAAACAAACAAACAAAACAGAGUUCACAUUACUCUUACUCAUUCAAAAAAUCAUGUCCCUGUGAGGUAUGCAUUACUGAUAUAUCAUAUCUCCAUGGGAGAUGAAGUAGUCCCUAUUAGCUUAAAGCUGUGAUAAAACUGUGAUUAUCUUCACAGUAAUUGAAAUGUUACUGUCAUACUCUCUCAGUUACAAAACGACACUGAGUAACCAGAAAAAGAAUUAUUCAUUAUUCAAGGAACUACUGUAAAAAUAAUUGUGUCUGUAUCAGAUUCUACCUGCAGCUAUCUGAGAAGACCUUAUCCACACUUUGGGAAUGACUAUUGACAUCAGUGGUUAAGCUUUUAUGUCCAGUAUUACCUGUGACUCACUUCUUUUUCUUCAUUACUGCUGGAUAUGCAAACGAUAUAGCUAAAAGUAACAGUGUUUCUUUUUACCAGUUGUGUUAGGCACAGCACUGCUAACUGGUCAAUGAAAAUGGCUCUCCUGGACUCUGGGUAUGUGUACAGAAUGAGUAUGAGAGGCUGGAGAGCAGCUCCAAGGGAAGAGAUCUGGGGGUUCUGAGUGAUGAAAGUUGAACAAAAAUCAGCAGUGAGCCCUGGACAGCCAAAAGGGCCAAGCACAUCUUGAGCCAGUGUAGUUGAGUAAGUGAUGGAGAAAUGUGGAAAUUUAUGAGUGAAUUGGAGUUGUAUUAAGCAGACAAGUUUAAUAUGCAUAGAAAGUUUCAGUUAUUUGUACAGUCUAUUAUAUACAAUGUCUCACUUGAUAACUCAUGUAGCAUAUGGUGUGAUCUGUGUUUGUGAAUGUAUCUUUUCUACUUCCUGACUUCAUCUGGUCCUUGCUGAGUUUGCAUUAGUCCUUCUCAUUAAGCUUGCGUUAGCUUCACCUCUGAGGAAAAAAAAAAUCAAAUUAAAACCAAACCAAAUAAAAAAAACCCUUCUUUUUAAAAGAGGCCAUGAGAAACAAUAACACCAAAUAGCUAUUAUGGAUUUUUAGUGAUAUUUAUAAGCCUGUCUAUGAAGCUGUAUGAAGUUGAUUAUACUUAUGUACAUCGUUAUUUACAGCAGUUUCCUACCCAUGGAAACGAUUCUUAUGUGUAUAGAUUUUUCUACAGCAGGUUUAUUCAAUAAAGUCUGAGUCACUGCUUUUAAGCUAGCAAUACCUUUUUCUUUGCUGUCCUGAAAGUAAAUGAAUAGAGAUAUUACUUUCAAGAGUAUUAACUGAAUCUCCAUUCCUUAUUAAGAAACAAAGUGUAAUUUAUUUUUCUUUUAUGUGGUCAUUUGAGCUGAGUCAUGUAUGAAUUAUUUCCUUAAAGCUAUUUCUAUCCCUUCGUCUUUAUUGCAGGGUUUCUGAUUCUCUCAGCUCCCUAUCAGUAAGGAAAAGAUAAAUUUAGUAGUAGAAAAUAAGAAAUGCCCUAAGAAGCUUUACUGAGCUGUAUACAAUUGUUCUUCCAAAAAGAAGGUGACUAUCUAAGAAAACAGAUAGUGAUUCUUCAGUUUUAUAAAGUAACGUCAAGAAUUCUUUCUAAUCUAGCUUUGUCUAAUCCAAUUCUUUUGAAAAGUCCAAUUCAUUUUGCAGUUCUUCUCCACUGUGAUUUUAAUACAUACUUCCUGAUAAUCUUCUACAGCACUAAAAAUGUGUAAGGCUUCCAGGAUGACCUUUAGGAAAAAGUAUUUUUCAGACCCAUAGAUAUUAUAUAUAUACAAAUGAGAGAAGUAGAGAGUAUGUGAAAGGAAACACUGUUUUUAGAGGCAAAAAGUGUUAAUUAUCCCAAAGGAGAUACAAAUUUUAAAUUCCCUCCUCUUCAUUGUUAUUGCUCUCCUCUAAAUGUGGAGAUGGAAGACACAGUGUAGCUUCAUAAUCAUGAUUAAAUCAAAGAUAGACUACACACUAACUGAUGUUAAUGCUGAAAUUAAACUUUUGUUAUUAGUGUAAAUAAAUCAAUCUGAAAUGCACAAUAGGAUUUACUGUCUGACUAACACCUCUCUAGGCGUUCCAUGUCUACAAAAAUGGUUUGUACUUAUUUGUUUACCAAAAUCUGUAUGUAGGAAAUGGUCAUGAAAUGGGGCUAGUGAGAUCAUCACAGGAUGCAGUCAUUGCUUGUGGAAACUCCAUAUUCAGGAGCUCUAAGAGCAGGAAAAUAUUUACCUCUGACUAUGAAGUUUUCUUCACCAAAGAGGAUGCAAAAGUCUUUUUGUCUUUAUAGGUCAGAAGGUUCAACUUCUACUACCAUACCACUGCCUGCUUCUGACAUCAUGGGCAACAUGACAAAAUAGGAGGUAUUAAUUUCAGAGCUGCUCUCCUAGUUUUUCACCUAAACCCUCCAGUUCUGCUACAUUUUUUUUUCCUGAUUCUCUUCCCCAUCCCAGUGUGAGGGGAGGGAGAGAGGGUGUGGAAGACAGGCUGUGUGGGGCUUAGCUGCCUGCUGGGUUAAACCACAACAUUUGAGUGGUUUGUUUCAAAAAAAGGACUUACUGAAUUGUUUGAGCUCAGUAAGACUAUGUGUAUUGCCAUAGCCAGCUUACUAUUAUUUGGUAUUCUCAGCAUGUUUUGUCUGCAUUAUGCAGAGCCAAGUAUAACAAAAUUCUGGUCUAUGACAGUAUGUAAAGUUACUUCUAAGAAGAGAAAUAUUCAAAGAAGUUCUUUUGCAAAUUUUGUUUCUUUGUGUUGAUUUGUAUAUUCCCCUGCUUUGCCUCCCAUGGAUUCGAUAAUAAGUAAAAAUAGAAAACUUUACCCAAACCAAAUUAAGCAUCCUUGCCCCCUGACCUUUCUGCUUACUGUAGUCUUCAGAACUGUUAGUGUAUUUGAGUGCAUACUAGACUUGGUCUUUAUUAUAAAGGAUAUCUUAUCAGUGAUUGAUCAAGCUGAUAUCUAAUGUAACGAAAAGAAAAAAAAGAAGAAAUAACGAUGUGUUGAUGAAGCCAUAGCUACAAACUUUUUUUUCCUGAGUAGUUCAAAGUUGUACAGUUCCAAUAGUGUUGAUGAGAUGAGCAUGAACUUUGUCCCACUAUUUUAAUACUUUACAGAUAUCACUGUCUUACAUUUUGUGGUGAGAAGAAAUGUGAAUUUUCUGUUAUCUUGGUGUUUGCCAAGAUAAAACACAGAGUCAUCACUUCAAAGAUCUAAACUAGUUUUACUGCUUUAGUGAGAUCAGUUCUGAGUCCAUGACUAUUUUUCCAUAUGUAUAUUGUACUACUUUUGUAAUGAAAAUUAAAUAAAAUAAAAUUAACCACUGAAGAAACCAUGCUUUUUCUCUCUAGAUGCAUCCUUUAUCUGUCAAAUGUUGUUUUCUUGUAUAUAUAUAUUUUUUUCUUUUCUGAACAGCUUGACACGAAAAGAUUAAAGUAUGAAAUCUGCUUCAUGGAAUGUUCUUUAUUUUUCUGCUUAAUAAUGCACUAUGUGUAGUGAAUCUCAUCUAUGUGUUGUUUAAAGUAUUUUAAGAUAUCCCCAUUACAGUACCAUUUCUUAAUUGUGUUUUCUUCUUGACAUAGGUUAAUAUCAUUUAAAAAUAAUGCAGGAGAUAUUUAAAGCACAUCAGAAGUACAGAGGACUCUUUUUGCAAGUUGAUACCUUCAAAGAAUCCCAAAUCCCUCAAAAGUGAAUUAUAUGGUAUAAAUAAGGUAACAAAAGUACCCAGUCAUAAUUUCUAUAUCAGUGUUUGUGGAACUUCACAGUGCUCUUCUUUAAACACAUUUCUUCUACACUUUAUUUCUUUAACCACAUACUUGUGCUUCUGGAUUAAACAUUUCUAGAUAAAACAUUUCAUAAAUCCAAAGACACUCAUCAAUCAUUCACUAACCAGCACACGAUACCUUAGCAUGCACAUGUAUGUUUCAUUUCAGCUCCAAAGACUAGUAAUCAGUGGUUACUCAUUAACAAUCAGUCUGGACAAGCAAAAUGUUGAGUGGCAAAAAAUCUUCCAGUCUUUUAUAUCUUAAAAAGUCACAUAAUCCGUGAAUAUUAUGUUGUCGUGUAAGGCUUAACUUGUCACCAUUUAUUUUCAUGAAGAUAACCUAUGCAGCCUUAUUGAAAAAAGAAGAAAUAAACUGUCGUGUCUGCAUCUCCUUCUGUCCCGUGAAAGUCUCUGGGAAAGCUGGUGCCAUUAGUUUCAUUAUAUGGAUGGUGAAGUUGAUCUUUAAUAGAUCAGUUGCUCUUCACAGAGCAGCAGCUUUUUCUCUGUUUUACCCCCUCCUCAGAAAAUCUGAGAUGUGAAUAUUUGGAUUAUGAAACAGGCUUGUGAUACAUGGACUGUAGUAAAGCAAAAUAUUUUCCAUAAAAUUUUGUUGUAUGUACUUUUAUUUUUUUUCAACAGGUCAGAUAAGAGGCAAUAAAGACUGGUUUUAAUCAUUUAGGAAGAACAGUGUCAGAUGAAGAAAGAAAAAGAUGUGUUAUCUACACAUAUGAAAGACUCAAAUAAAUAAGGAAAUACCUUCAGGAAGCAAUAAGAAGGAUGACACAUACAUGCAGAAAGAUAAGAAGAUGGAUAAAUGGAAGUUCAUACCAAGCAGUGAUACGCUCAGGGUAACAAAAAUCACUCAUGUGAUAGAUAGAUUUUGCCAGAGCAUCUCUUAGGGCAUGUGAGUGUCAGUAUCUUAUAACAAGCUUUGGUUCUUUAAUAUAAAA